rnacentral:rRNA from 1 species
GAUGAACGCUGGCGGCGUGCCUAAUACAUGCAAGUCGAGCGAACAGACGAGGAGCUUGCUCCUCUGACGUUAGCGGCGGACGGGUGAGUAACACGUGGAUAACCUACCUAUAAGACUGGGAUAACUUCGGGAAACCGGAGCUAAUACCGGAUAAUAUAUUGAACCGCAUGGUUCAAUAGUGAAAGACGGUUCUGCUGUCACUUAUAGAUGGAUCCGCGCCGCAUUAGCUAGUUGGUAAGGUAACGGCUUACCAAGGCAACGAUGCGUAGCCGACCUGAGAGGGUGAUCGGCCACACUGGAACUGAGACACGGUCCAGACUCCUACGGGAGGCAGCAGUAGGGAAUCUUCCGCAAUGGGCGAAAGCUUGACGGAGCAACGCCGCGUGAGUGAUGAAGGUCUUCGGAUCGUAAAACUCUGUUAUUAGGGAAGAACAAAUGUGUAAGUAACUAUGCACGUCUUGACGGUACCUAAUCAGAAAGCCACGGCUAACUACGUG